CAUAUGGUUGGUGCUUUCAUGAAUCAAUCAUUGUGUAAAGCAGAAAUAGCACAUUGGACUCCUGAUAUUGGUUUGUGAGGGAUGCGUCACAUGUUGGAUAUGUUAGUUGUAUCUCCCGGAGCCAAGGAACAUGCGGGGCUGUGUAAUUGCUGUAGGAGUCACGGUCACUGCCCUUUUCGUCUGUUUACUCUUUGCAAGUGUACCUGGCUUUCGCCACUACAGUUUAUUCUAAGAGGAGUGUGGGGUUAUAUAAUAUCCAAAAUCUUUUGAAAUGCACAAUAUGAUGAGAAACUGUCUGAGUGAUUUAAUUAGCAGAUUUUAUGAAGCAUCAAUAGAGUAUAAGUUGUAUAGGCAUGGAGGGGCCAAAAUAAAUUAAUAAAGAAAGCUUUGCAGCAUCAAACGGCAACAAAGAAACCUGGUAAAGUAUGCAGCAAAAGAGGCCCCUUUGCCCAACUUGGGGGCCAUCUACUUUACUGGAGAGGAAGAAAAACACUGUUGUUUCAACACCACCAGCAGCUGAAGACCCAGAGUCAGCACAAGCUACGAAUGCAAUGACAAAGUAUCUGGAUGUGCUUUGAUUAACUAUUCAUUUUACAUGCUAUUGCAAAUUCAUCACAUUAAAUACUAGAUGGAAUGACAUGCAAGAUGCAAUUAAACGAAGCUCGCCACGUUAA